rnacentral:rRNA from 1 species
UACGUAGGGUGCGAGCGUUAAUCGGAAUUACUGGGCGUAAAGCGUGCGCAGGCGGUUCGUUGUGUCGGCGGUGAAAUCCCCGGGCUCAACCCCGGGUCGGCCGUGGCAACUGUCGAGCUGGAGCACUGUAGAGGCAGGUGGAAUUCCGGGUGUAGCGGUGGAAUGCGUAGAGAUCCGGAAGAACACCCGUGGCGAAGGCGGCACUCUGGGACGGUACUGACGCUGAGACGCGAAAGCGUGGGGAGCGAACAGG